CAGCAGCCGCGGGAAUACGGAGGGUGCAAGCGUUAUCCGGAAUUACUGGGUGUAAAGGGAGCGUAGACGGUUAAACAAGUCUGAAGUGAAAUGCCGGGGCUCAACCCCGGAGCUGCUUUGGGAACUGUAGAACUGGAGUGUCGGAGGGGUAAGCGGAAUUCCCAGUGUAGCGGUGAAAUGCGUAGAUAUUGGGAGGAACACCGGCGGCGAAGGCGGCUUACUGGGCGACAACUGACGCUGAGGCACGAAAGCGUGGGGAGCAAACAGGAUUAGAUACCCCGGUAGUCCCUGUCUCUUAUAC
rnacentral:rRNA from 1 species